ACAAGGUGAGGAGAGUGAGAGUACACACAAGUGAUGAGAAUGAGAUGAGGACACAAGGUGAGAAUGAGAGGACACAAGGUGAGAAUGAGAGGACACAAGGUGAGAGUGUGGAACAUGACGUUAUAUCGUUAAUAAAUGAUAAUAUUU